AGUUUUCAAGGAAAAUCAGUAGAAACUGUCAUAUGACAAUUUCCACCAACCAGAAGUCAAAUUAAUCGACCGCAGGUUACCUUUCACCUGAAUGGAAUUAUGCUCGUUCAACGAGCAGGAACUUAACAUGCCAUUUACCGAGUAAAACACUACCAAAAAUACAUUAAUUCGCAUGUAUGGCUUCAUUCGACCAUACUGAACCGAAUUCCCCUUAUCCCGCCCAAUAUCAUUGCCUUUCGUCUGUCAUUGUGUUGACCAUUGGCGGUGUUAAUCAAUGCCACCGCGAUGGCAUGCAACCGAAAAAUGAUUGCCGCCAAACACAUUAUCUGUAUUAUUAAUGAGCUGCAAGCCGCAGACUGCACUCCUGGAAAAUAUGCGGCUUACAUUUUAUGUAUAAUUUGCGAAAUAUAUUCUAAAAAUGUAUAAAAAUGCUGAAGACCUUAAAGGCACACAAUGAAUUAAAAAGAAAAGAUAUAUCAAUCAUAUUAUUAAUAUAUCUUUAAUACGAAAGUCCUAAGUCCUUUAGACAGCUUUACAACGGCUGAGCGCAAAUGAUUUUAAAACAAUUUCAAAGAUAAAAAAUGAAGUUUGGACAUGAUUCAAGCUUUCGCUACGUGCAUCGAGUGUCCUGUAAAUUGGCAUCAUUGUUGAUUGAGUUGAUCGCGGGACCCGCUGCGGGUUAACCCAACCAAACAUCUCUCUUUAGUGCUCUUUAGCUCUUUGCACAGCACAUUGCAUUCUCAUUAUAGCCUUGCUUUUCGGGUGUUUAAUUAAUUGAAAGCAUUUUUGCCAGCGUUUGCGGCCGCUUUCCCUUUUGCCAAUUUCACGGAGAGCGUGAAGCGUCGACCGUAAUAAUAUUGACUCAUUGGCGUUGAGGACGGACAUCCAGACAUGCAAAUGCACACAAGAGGACCUCCGUGAACAUGCAAAUUAAAUGCAUUCGGCGGAGAGAAACCGUCCAUGUGCCCGCCCUAGAAUCUUUUGUCGGUUCUGGUAAUUAAUCGGAAUAUUUUACAUUUUUUUUCCAGCUCAUGAUAGAGAGACGGAAUUUAAAAUUCAAUCAGCGUCUGCAAUGCGCAGUCCAAUUUAAGUUAAAAAUAUGGGUAUUGGCAUUUAAAUGAUCAUCCAUCCGGAUCAUGCGUUUUAAUCCUAAUGGGUAUAUUUUUGUGUAAACGAUCUAAACGUCCUUUUUUGCAUUUUUAAUUUCUAAGUUUUCACGAGCUUCACAAGGUUUUUUUAAAUCGUUGAAAAGUCAACCUAAGUAGGGGCUACACAGUUUACAAACUCAUCUUUAAAUCAACGAUUCCUGGAAAAUAUACCAUAUGCAAAACAUUUGCCCGUUUUCUUAUGUGAAUUCAGACUGAUUUUCAUCGUUGGUCAUUGAAGGUAGUUUAAAUUAUGACGCAAGCAACCACACCACAGAAUAUGGCGACAUUGGCUAUUAUAUGUUUGACUAAUUUACAACAUAUUCCGGUUACAACAACGUAUACAUAACUAAAAGUUAUUGACGGCGAUCUGAUGACAAAUGAAUUGCUGAAGUCCUGCAAUUAACUUUGAGAGCAUCGCUAUCAAAGUAAUGCAUAUACACGAUAAACGUACUUUCAUAUAAUUAUUUCAGCUUGUUUUUGGAUUUUAGCAUUAGUCAAUCCUUUGAGGGAAUGCAAUUUAUUUUAAUUGCGAUGCAAGGUUGCAGGACACUGCCAGAACGAAGGCGAAGGAAUAAUUAAUGAAUGAAUGUUGAAAACAUUCACUUUUUCUUCACGGACUGUUUUGCUUUUAUUUUUUAGGUCCCAAACACAUUGGAACUUCUUUAUAAUCAAACUUGGGUUUCUUAAAUUUGCGCUAUAACUUACCAAUAUGAACUGCAACUUAUAUCACAACAUUUUGUAAUAUGAAUUUGCUAAAUAGGUGCUCUUAAUGAUUUUGUAUUUCGUAUACUUUCUAGAAACAUAAGUUUUCCUUGUGACACCUUUAGCGAAGUUAGACUGUACGCGGACUUUGUGCAAUUUGUUCGGGUUGAGGAAAAUCCAGCCUAAUCGCGUGCUCGCAAGAAAACAUCUCUUGCAGCUGUCCCGGCAGGUAGCUAAACUGUCUAGCGCCAGCUGCCUUUUCCUCGGGGAUUUCCCCAGAAGAUCUUCCAGUGGCAGAAGUGCCGGUGUUUUCCCAGUAAACAGCAGCAGGUAG